CUAAUACCGCAUACGCCCUACGGGGGAAAGCAGGGGAUCGCAAGACCUUGCACUAUUGGAGCGGCCGAUAUCGGAUUAGCUAGUUGGUGGGGUAACGGCUCACCAAGGCGACGAUCCGUAGCUGGUUUGAGAGGACGACCAGCCACACUGGGACUGAGACACGGCCCAGACUCCUACGGGAGGCAGCAGUGGGGAAUUUUGGACAAUGGGGGAAACCCUGAUCCAGCCAUCCCGCGUGUGCGAUGAAGGCCUUCGGGUUGUAAAGCACUUUUGGCAGGAAAGAAACGUCGCGGGUUAAUACCCCGCGAAACUGACGGUACCUGCAGAAUAAGCACCGGCUAACUACGUGCCAGCAGCCGCGGUAAUACGUAGGGUGCAAGCGUUAAUCGGAAUUACUGGGCGUAAAGCGUGCGCAGGCGGUUCGGAAAGAAAGAUGUGAAAUCCCAGAGCUUAACUUUGGAACUGCAUUUUUAACUACCGGGCUAGAGUGUGUCAGAGGGAGGUGGAAUUCCGCGUGUAGCAGUGAAAUGCGUAUAUAUGCGGAGGAACACCGAUGGCGAAGGCAGCCUCCUGGGAUAACACUGACGC
rnacentral:rRNA from 1 species